UUAUCGAAAACAUUUACACUUCAGUUAAACGAAAAAACUUUCUGGACACGCCUGGAAACAUUAAGACUCUUGUCUGCGGCCUCAUGCGGCCCAAAAUCGUAAAAUUAUCAUUUUUCAAACACACAAAGAUACACGUAUAAUCCUCGAAACAACUGCGAGACGUCGCAAAGUUAAAAUUCGAAGAUAAUACGUACAAAUUGUCCGAAUGCGACCACCAAAACCUUACACCCAGUUCGUCGAUUGACCCCGACGAACACGCCAGCCGUCUUAAACAAACGCAAUUCGAUCACUUUUUUGAUCUUAAAAAACGUCCAACACAAGGACGAAAGCGCGCUACAACAAAAAUUCGAAAUUUUGGUUUAGCACUCCUAGUUGGCUUAAAAAUUGCCUCUGAGAAGAUGCUCGAUUCGUACCAUACAAGUCAUAUAAGCCGAGAACCUAUCACGGACUUUAAAUCGGUACGAGUCAGGAAGAAAUCGCAACAGGAAAAACGAUAGCCGGCUAGUCACCGCACAAACCUUAAACCGAAAGUAAACCUAGGUCUUGCCCUAAACCCAACGCUCUGGUCUCAAACAUGUCAAGACAUGAUAUCUAAAAGAUACGAGAUCCUAAACCAUGUCUCUCCGUUCACAUCUCAAUGUUCCCGAAAAUCGUAAAGAUAAGUAUUUUUUUACGAAAAUCAUGAACGAACCAACAGAUUGAACGUCUCAUCAGAAUUAAAUAUGAGACGAAAAAUCAUAUCUACUUCUAAACCUACUCAGGAAAAACUCGAAACGAAACAUUCGUCAUAUAUAUAAAACCGCGUAAAACGGUAAGGGAUUCAAAGCCACUAACGGCCAGUCCCGGUAAAUACAAAUACGGCCAUCUAGGCCUAAGCAAAAUCCAAAUUUAAAAGGCCACACUCGGCCGAAAAUAGAUAA
rnacentral:lncRNA from 1 species